rnacentral:lncRNA from 1 species
AUCUUGGUGGAUGAGCAUGACAAUGUUAUUGGGCAUGAUUCGAAAUACAAUUGCCAUCUGAUGGGGAAAAUAGAAUCCGAGAAUCUGCUCCACAGGGCCUUCAGUGUUUUCUCUUCAACUCAAAUUAUGAAUUGCUACUCCAGCAAAGGUCUGCAACAAAGGUUACUUUUCCUUUAGUGUGGACAAAUACCUGCUGCAGUCAUCCUCUUUAUCGUGAUUCAGAGCUUACAGAAGAGAACUUCCUUGGAGUCAGAAACGCUGCACAAAGGAAAUUAUUGGAUGAAUUGGGCAUACCUCCUGAAGAGUUGCCUGUUGAUCAGUUCAUUCCUCUUGGACGCAUGCUAUACAAGGCCCCAUCUGAUGGAAAGUGGGGGGAACAUGAGCUUGAUUAUCUGCUCUUCAUUGUUCGUGAUGUUAACUUGCAUCCAAACCCCGAUGAAGUUGCUGAUGUGAAGUAUGUCAAUCGGGAUCAAUUGAAAGAACUGCUCAGGAAAGCAGAAACCGGUGAAGAUGGGGCAAAACUGUCCCCUUGGUUCAGGCUGGUUGUGGAUAAUUUUCUGCUUAAAUGGUGGGAUCAUGUUGAAAAGGGGAGACUUCAGGAGGCAGCUGACAUGAAGACCAUUCAUAAGCUGACAUAAAAGCAGUAUUGCUGGUGUCUGACGUUGGUUUAAUUAGGGAAGCUACUCCUGCAUAAUGUUUUCGCUUAUGACUUUUACUAUGAUAUAUGCUAAAAUAAGAAUUAACUCAAGGUAUUCUGUUAUGGAUUUGGGAUGUUAAGAAUUAAAGCGCGGCUUCCAAUGAUGUACAGGUGUAUCUUGGUGGAUGAGCAUGACAAUGUUAUUGGGCAUGAUUCGAAAUACAAUUGUAAGAAGCAAAGAUCCCUAAAAGCCUGUGAUGCUUGUAUGACAUUAUAUUUCAUGCACUAAAUAGUAUACUCUUUCAGAUUUAGUUCUUGAUGCUACAAAUAUGAUAUCUGUUUAAUUAGGCCAAGAGAUAUAUGGAAUAUCCUUUCUUUCCACUGUUUUUGGAUCCUUUAAUGCUUUCCAUGUUCUUAUCCUUCAUGAUCUUAAUGCACUCAUUUCCUUUUAAAGUUCAUUGAAUUUGAGCUAUGCUGCUUCUGGCAUUGCAAUUUUAUUUCGAAGAUUGUUUUGGUUUUUCAUGCUUACAUGCAAUAUUUGUUGUCAUGGUCUUGUUAAGUGAGUGAAAAGUGCUCUAUCUUUUUAAUGUAUAAAAUUGCAGUUUAUAGUAAAUAAUUUUAGAAUAAUAUAAAUAUAAUCCUUUGUUCCUUUUUAGUAGCCAAAUUCUUCCAAAUGGGAAGUUUUCUUGCCACCUUUGUCCAUUGGUUCUCCUUGAUCUCUUUGUUAAACUUGUUUAUGAGAAAUUCUCAUAACUUCGGCUAGUUAUAACCCAUGUUAUACAAGUAAUGGCGACAAGACCUCGAGCUUAGCCUGAACUAAUCUUCAAAACUUGUUAUUAGCAAGAGCAUGUUAGUUAAUUGUUGGGAAUUGGUUUAAAUCAUACUGAUCUGACCGUUCCAUGAACUGUGCUUGGUUUACGAAUUAGAAAGGUUGGACCAACCUAACCAAUCAAUGAACUGUGCUUGGUUUAGCAACAGAUUAGGAACCCGUUAGGUAAUUAUUGUUCAAUUAUAUUUGAAGCCAGCACUUAAAUAUGUGGAUGAGAUUCUUUACCAAAUUAUAUCUUUUAUGCUCUGCUUUUCUGAGGACCGACCUUGCUAAAACAAUAUAAUUAUAUCUUUUAAGCUGUUAGCUAAUUACAUUCCUAAAACAAGACAUUCAUCCUAUAAAGGUUGAACAUAUUCAAUAUGAUGCAGAAUACUUUUCUGCAUGCAUAUGUACUAUAAAGUUCUGUAGAUUCAUGAAUUUUACAGCAUAAUGCGAUUUGUUGUUCAAACACAUUCGAUUUGAUGAACAGAUUGAGAACCAACAUUCUGAAUUAUUUACUUUACAAUCUAGCAUAUGUUUCUCAUAUGAUGUUUAUCUUAAUUAUUAUUUUCAUUAAAACUAUUUUUUAAAAUUCCUUGAGGUUUACACAUUAAAUAUUUAAGGACAGAUUAUUUAGUUGUUGAUUGGUCCCUGAACCCUCUUUCUAUUGUGUAGGCCAUCUGAUGGAGAAAAUAGAAUCCAAGAAUCUGCUCCACAGGGCCUUCAGUGUUUUUCUCUUCAACUCAAAUUAUGAAUUGCUACUCCAGGUAUGUGAUUUAUAGGAUUAAAGGCAAAAAAAACUACCUUUAAACAUGUUGUUAUGUAUCAAUUUGAAUAAGAUCCGAUCAUAUUGAAAUGAUUUUUUCAUCCUUGUUCAGUUUAGAUGAUUGUUAGCAGUGUUUCCUAUGUUCAAUAUCAAAUAGUGUUUCUGGAACAUCAAUUUUUCAAUUACAUCAUUCUAGUCUUACUUGAGGAAGACAUUUGUUUUGUGAUGUAAAACUUACUUAGGACCGGCUAACCCAUGUUCAAGUGCCAUGCACACAGAACCUUUUCCUCGAGGGCCUCCCCUAUCGCUUAGGAUCGGCUAACCCACACGCGGGCGUCAUCCACAUGGAACCUUUCCCGUUAUGGGCCUCCCUCAUCUCUUAGCAUUGGCUAGCCCGUGUGCAAGUGCUGUCCACAUGGAACCUUUCCCCUCAUGGGCCUCCCCCAUCUCUUAGGAUCGGCUAGCCCAGGUGCAAGUAUCAUUCACAUGGAACCUUCCCCUUACAGGCCUCCCCUAUCUCUUAGGAUGUAAAACUUACUUAUGAAAUAUUUUAUGUAAGAUUCAUGGCUACCCUGCUUGAGACCUUAGAGUUACUCUUUUCAAAUCUUUCUUGAUUUCCAAAUGUUCAAAUCUAGGCUUGUCCAAGUAGAUUCAGGCUUAGAAUAUUGGAGUUUGCUUGUUUUCGACAUACUAGAUAUGCAUGGCCCUAACCUGGCCUGACCGAGCCGUGGAUGUGUGAACUAUCAUUCUUAUUGGCAAUUUGUUCAUUCGUGUUGAAUCCAUUUGCCCAUUAAUGGCACACUUCUACAUGGACUACCUUUUUCUGGAUGUUGCAGUUUAAAGAAUUGCAUAUUUCAGGGAUUUAUGAGAUGAUAAAAGAAUAAACAUCAAGAUUUUUAGUCAAUCUAUGUGUGAUCUUAAUCUAGUAUGGCAUAACAGAAGAUGAAGAGGUGUCAGACGUUGGUGUGAGAUGGAAACAAUAUUCUGAAGUAACUUUAGACCCAGGCAGAAUACCCUGGUGAACCAUGGGCAAAAAAAACCCACAAGAAAACUUUGACAGAAAACUAAAUUUUAAGCAGAACGUUUCUUCGCAUGUUGAUCCCACAAAAUUUUGAUGUGUGAAAUAAGUCAGAAUUUGAUUGAGAGCGUCCAUGGGUCUUGCAACAAAGCCAUUUUGUUUGGAACCAAAAAGGUCACAAGGCUGACAGUUGCAUGGACAUUUCUGGCUUCGUCAUGACUAUUGAGAUACUCAGUUUUGCUUAUAUGUUAUCUUCAGAAUGAAAAUUCAGUUUUUUUUAAAUAUAUAAUGGCAACCUGAAGGUGUACUUUAUAUGAAUGUCAUUGUAUGAAAUCUUGAUUUAUGAUUUAAGCACAAGUCUUGAGUUUUUUUUGUAAGAAAUAUUCUUUUCAUGAUCCUUCCACCUUUAUGGAUAAUUUGUUCUAAUAAAUGUAAAGUCAAACUCUGUUUUGUCUUUCUGAUAUUACUCUGGGAAUCAGUUUAAUGAAACUCAUGCUGUUUUUUCUCUUUUGAUUUUUAUGCUGGCAGCUAGUUUGAUGAAACUCAUGAUGUUAUCUUUGAUUGUUAGCUCUUGUUGAAGUUCAAUGUUUGUGUUGCUGCUUUUAAAAUGGAUUCUACUUUGCCACUUUUGUGAUCAGAACUACCUUUACUUGAGAACUGAAAGUACAAUAUAUCUUGUAUUUUUUUUGCUUACCUUUCAUCUCGCUCUGCUAUAUAUGUGUUGCGAAAAGGUCAGUCUUGUUCGCUGGAACUUUCUGUUUGUUAGUUUGAGGAAAGUUGCAGUUUUCUUUGGCAAGCUAGGCAUAGAGCAUAUCUGGUUAGUUUUGGUUAGCUCAUUUAAAAGACAUCCCUGAUAAAGUUGUAUCGAUAUCAUUUACAAUAUGCAACUUACUGCAUCUCAUUUGUUUGGCUUAAUUGUUUUGUUGUUUGGUUGAUGUUGACCAGCCAUGACUUUCUGUUAUAUUUUAAACUAUUGUGUAAACUGGUUCUUAUUUCUUAUGUCAUCACCUGGCUAAUUUUUUUUGUAUUCAUAGAUGCCUCUGUUUUUUUUUUUGACAGCAAAGGUCUGCAACAAAGGUUACUUUUCCUUUGGUGUGGACAAAUACCUGCUGCAGUCAUCCUCUUUAUCGUGAUUCAGAGCUUACAGAAGAGAACUUCCUUGG